rnacentral:rRNA from 1 species
GCGCGGCUUACAAUGCAGUCGAGCGGUAACAGGGGGUGCUUGCACCCCGCUGACGAGCGGCGGACGGGUGAGUAAUGCAUAGGAAACUGCCCAGUAGUGGGGGAUAGCCCGGGGAAACCCGGAUUAAUACCGCGUACGCCCUUCGGGGGAAAGCAGGGGAUCUUCGGACCUUGCGCUAUUGGAUGUGCCUAUGUCGGAUUAGCUAGUUGGUGGGGUAAAGGCCUACCAAGGCGACGAUCCGUAGCUGGUCUGAGAGGAUGAUCAGCCACAUCGGGACUGAGACACGGCCCGAACUCCUACGGGAGGCAGCAGUGGGGAAUAUUGGACAAUGGGGGCAACCCUGAUCCAGCCAUGCCGCGUGUGUGAAGAAGGCUUUCGGGUUGUAAAGCACUUUCAGUGAGGAGGAAAACUCUGCGACUAAUACUCGUAGGGCUUGACGUUACUCACAGAAGAAGCACCGGCUAACUCCGUGCCAGCAGCCGCGGUAAUACGGAGGGUGCAAGCGUUAAUCGGAAUUACUGGGCGUAAAGCGCGCGUAGGUGGUUUGGUAAGCGAGAUGUGAAAGCCCCGGGCUUAACCUGGGAACGGCAUUUCGAACUGUCAGGCUAGAGUAUGGUAGAGGGUAGUGGAAUUUCCUGUGUAGCGGUGAAAUGCGUAGAUAUAGGAAGGAACACCAGUGGCGAAG